rnacentral:rRNA from 1 species
AUUAAUUAUUAGAACUUUACAACUCAUUAUUUUCGACUCAUUCGUUCAACAUUGCCGGAUCAAGCUUUCGCUCAUUGUCCAGUAUUCCCUA